GAUCACAAAGCCUAGUCUCACUUUCUUUUCCUCACCAGCCGCCACACCCCUUCCCGCUUUCCAGUUACUUCCAUCAACCACUGAUUGAGAAAAAAGGUUUCAAGCUAUUGAUACUUCUAUCGUGCUUUUUAGGAAAGAUUAAUGGAAGAAAAAUAGGCCGAUUGGUGGAAUUGUUAAGAGUAUUAUCAAUCAAGUGACUCGAUAUUGAUCAAAAUAAGAUGCAUUUGGAGACCAUUGGAGGAGAGAAUGGAGAUGACUGUGCGGUUUUGAGUCUCAACGAAGAUAGUAAUCCUACAAUUGGCGUCGCAGAAGAAUUAUGUAUAGGGAAUGUUGUUAAAUUUAAAUAGUAUAUAACUGUGUAACUUGAAACUUAUAAUCAAGGUUUCUUUUUAAAUUCUUAGCGACAUUGUAAAAAAUAUUGUGACUAAAUAUGCUUCUGGCAAAUACUUCACUUUGUAGCAAUGUAAUCUCUUAAUUU